GUGCUUGCUUUGGCAGAACGUAUGGUAAAAUUAGAACAGUGGAGAGAUUGGCAUGACCUCUGCAUAAGGAUGACAUGCAGAUUCACAAAGUACUUCUUUUUUUU
ensembl:snRNA U6 U6 spliceosomal RNA